UGAUGACUUCCGCAUCUGUGCUCGUGUUCUUCAAAUACAUGGAAAAUUGCAGUGAGAGCCUUAGGAGGUCCAAGGGAAGAAGGGCAAGUGGUGAGGAGCAGGGAAGAGGAAAUAGAAAGAAAGAAGAUAUGCCGCGCACAGGACCUGAUAACCCCACUGAAUGUAAACUUUACAGGUCUUAACAUGAGCCACGACAAAUAAUGUGAACAAGAAUGAAAAGUGGGUUACGAGACCUACAGGAGGAGGGAAAGAGGGAGAGGGAUGGUGAAGAGGAUAAAAACCAAAAAGAACCAAGCUGUAAUACAUAUAUCUAACCGUUUUCCAAGACAAUUGAUAAUUACAUGAACUACAAACAUGCACAAAUAAAAUAAAAUUUUUUAAAAAGUAAAACAGGAGAGUCUCCUCAGAUGCUGGAAUGGAGACAAGCAGAUUUGACUCCAGGAGCUUCUGCAAGUAUGAAUUUAGUUAAUAUUCAUGUUAAACGUCUAC
rnacentral:lncRNA from 1 species